GGGAGUGGGAGGGUUCCGGUGAACUUCGCGGACUUCAAAUCCGUUGGCAUGCGUCCUUCGAUGUGUGCGGAGGGUUCGACUCCCUUGCACUCCCGCCA
rnacentral:tRNA from 2 species